rnacentral:misc_RNA from 1 species
CAGAAGUAUAGUGUCUCAAAAUUCUGUCUUUACACGGCUUGCCAGUGUCCGCACUCGUCCCGUUACUUUCACACCGCGCACACGACGACACUCACCCACCUCCCCACACACUGCACAGUGUCAAGGUGCAUCAUCUGGAUAAUUUCUCCUUUUUCCUUUUCGCGGAACACAUUCUUCCUUCCUAUUACUACUUUGCUUACCUUUGUUGGUAGCCUGCUAACAUUUUUUUUGUUUUCGUUUCUUUGUCCUGGCGAUUAUAUACAGGUAUAUAUAUAUAUUGCUUCGAUCAUCGUGGGUCUUUGUAUCUGUGUGCACCUCUCGCAACACACUUCUGCCAGCGCAAUUGUCCUUUUUUUUCCUAAAGUAGUUUGUUGGCCACACACUCUGCGAUAGCGCGCUUUCCAGGGACGAGCUGCAGUCUGCACACUUCACUGCCUCUUUACCUUGACGUUAUUAUUAUUAUGUUAAGCUUCCCGCAGAGUUUGUCUGCAAGCUGACCCAGAGUCUUUCACCCGAGCGCACACCAUCAAACAUCAGCCAUGCAUCUUUCUGAGCUUUGCCGGGACUCCAACAUCGACGUGAUCAUCGCUUGCCUUCGCCAGGUAGUACCCCUAGAGCCUGCGCCGGCUUUCUCUUUGUCCGAAGGAUCAGCAGAUGACGACACGACUCCCGCAACUGGAAACUCGGACUUUCAUGGGCUGUGGAGCUACCAGGACAAUGACGGGCGCACAGCCUUCCAUUGGGCCAUAGCGCUCAAGAACUUUGACCUGGGUCGCAAGUUGAUGCAGGCACCGUACAAUUCGCCUGUGCUGACCGAAGAUGAGGAGUGGAGCACACCGUUUGCCACUGCCUGUAGCGUUGGGGCACCGCUAGACCUGCUGAGAGAGAUUCUGGACCGAAGUGUGGUUGAGUUAGCCGCGCACAUGAAGCAGAAGGAGGCUCAGCGAAACCCCACUUCCGAGGAGCAGAACGGCAGCAGUGCCGCCCUGACCGAGCCUGCCCAGGGGAGCAACGACGGAAAGCCGACAAAGUUCUUGUCAGGCAUGCCGGGAAUUUCGCAGCCCGUCGACGCCACUCCAGCUUCUAUUAGCGCCGUGCUUGUUGACGCCGAGGAUGCGACGGGACAAACGCCUCUGCUCCUAGCUGUGGGACGUGGGCACCUGAGCAUUGUGCGCUUCUUGCUGGAGAACGGUGCAAAUUUGAUGCAUCAAAAUCGUAGGGGCCAGUCGUGCCUGCAUCGGGCCGUGAACCGCGGAAACAUGGAGCUCGUUGAGUUUCUUGUUACGACAAGUGAGAAGAACAACGCGAAGAGCAAGGCAGCGCAUCGGGCGUGGAUGGACCUGCGGGACAAACACGGCGACUCCGCGCUCUUCUACGCUUCCAUGGAUAACAAUGAGGAGAUUGGCCGGUACCUGCUGCGCCACGGCGCCGAUCGCGAGCUGCGCAAUGCAGACGGCAAAGCAUUCUGGGAGAUGUAGAGAUCGAAGAAGACAAGAAGAGACACUGAGCGCAAACGAGAAACCGUCAACUUCAGCUCUCGUCUAGCAUAUGUUGAGAAGGUGAUCGCUGCUCUUGAGGGCAGCGGCUUAUGCGGCUGUGCAUGGCUACUUUGCGACAAGGGGGCAUCAAUCCAGGAUCACCUAGCACUUGUACUUCUUGCUUCUUACCACCCCCUCCCCCACAUGUCGCCGCUUCCCCAUCAAAGUGCAUGCAUUAAUUUGAAAACGCAGUUAUCAUCUCGGCUUGUAUCAUAUUUUUUUUUUCUCCCUUUUUAUGUUUGGACCUCCCCCAAACAAAAGGAAAAGCGUCGAGGUAGUGGUCGUGACCCACUCGUCACCAUACGCGUCGUGGGAAGGAAGAGGCGGGGGUGUGCGGCAACACCACUCAUGUACACACGGUAUGCCGCUUUGGGGCUCUUUUG